rnacentral:rRNA from 1 species
UACGAAGGGGGGCUAGCGUUGCUCGGAAUGACUGGGCGUAAAGGGCGCGUAGGCGGUUUGGUGAGUUGGGCGUGAAAUUCCUGGGCUUAACCUGGGGGCUGCGCAUGAGACGUAGGGUCUGGAGUGCGGAAGAGGGUCGUGGAAUUCCCAGUGUAGAGGUGAAAUUCGUAGAUAUUGGGAAGAACACCGGUGGCGAAGGCGGCGGCCUGGUCCGUAACUGACGCUGAGGCGCGAAAGCGUGGGGAGCAAACAGG